rnacentral:lncRNA from 1 species
UCUUGGCGGGUGCUGUUGGGGCUCUGAUGGCAGAUACACUCCCCAAAGAUUCCAGCCGCAGUUUUCCCUUGCCUGCAUCUCACCUUAGCGCACGAGAUGGAAGCAGUAUUGCCAACUACAUCAACUCAACAAGGUAUCAAUUAACACAUCUUUCUUACUUUUAUUUGGAGGUGAAUGUUAAUUAUAUAAGUGAUAUGCUUUAUGAUUUGUACGGCACUCGGUCUUAUUACAUUAAAACAGUAACCCAACUGCAUCAAUAUUCAAGAGUACUGAGGUUAGUGACGCAUUGGCCCCAUACGUAGUCUCCUUCUCAUCAAGGGGUCCAAACCCAGCUUCAUUCGACCUUCUCAAGGUAACUUACGCUUUUAUUCUCCAUUUUCUUCUCAUUUAUUCUGCAGCCUUUUCAUCUCUGAUCCUACUUCUAUAAUUUUUAUUUGCGAAAGCAUAAGUGUUUUUCUUAAUCUAUGUUAUGAACAAUAACACAUAUUUCAUGUGAAAACACCUCUGUUUCCUUGGUUCAUAAACACUUGCUAGAGGUUUGACAUUCAUCGUGACUUUGUCAUCUUGCUGCAUGUAGCCUGACAUAGCAGCCCCAGGAGUCCGCAUUCUAGCUGCCUGGCCACCAAUUGCUCCAGUUUCUGGAGUAAAAGGUGAUAAUCGAGAAGUGCUAUACAAUAUAAUUUCCGGGACGUCAAUGUCCUGCCCACAUGCUUCCGGGGCAGCUGCCUACAUCAAGUCAUUUAACCCCACCUGGUCUCCUGCUGCCAUUAAGUCUGCUCUUAUGACUACUGGUAAUGUCUAAUUUGGUUCCUAGCCUUUAAAAUUAUGAAAGGGUUGAUAAUAAUGGAUCUCUAUCCUUUGUGUGUUUGUAGCUACUCCCAUGAGUGCUAAAAAAAAUCCGGAAGCCGAAUUUGCAUAUGGUGCGGGCAAUAUAGAUCCUGUAAAGGCUAUAGAUCCUGGUCUGGUAUAUGACGCCGAUGAGAUUGACUAUGUAAAAUUUUUGUGUGGGCAAGGUUAUAGUACUCCGGCUCUACGGCUUGUCACCGGGGAUAAUAGUGUCUGUUCUGCAGCUACAAAUGGAACCGUCUGGAAUCUAAAUUACCCUUCCUUUGCUCUUUCCAGCCUCACCAAGGAAUCCAUCACUGGCAUGUUCAAUAGGACUGUCACAAACGUUGGAUCAUCGGUGUCCACGUAUAAAGCAACUGUUAUAGGUGCUCCAGAGGGACUCGAAAUCCAAGUUGAACCAAGCAUUUUAUCAUUCACAUCCCUCAUGCAGAAGCUAUCCUUUGUGUUGAAGGUUGAAGGAAAGGUAGGUGACAACAUAGUCUCUGCUUCUUUGGUGUGGGAUGAUGGUGUACAUCAAGUGAGGACCCCCAUUGUUGUAUUAGCCCUCCCAUAAAAUUCCAGAAUCCUGGUGUUCUUGUGGUACUAUCUAUAAGAUUGAAAUAAAUGAUGCGGCAAGCACAACAUUUUACCUAAUUUAAGAUCUUCAAUCUUAUUCAGCUGUUUUCCCUGUAUCUUAGGAAUUUUAGCUUUCCACUAUCUUUAUAGGGGACUUUUUAAAAAUCUCUCCAACUGUGACCUUGGGCUUUUCUUAAUAUCCACACACAAGAAGGCAUCUGAGUGUUAGAUAAGGAGAAUGAGAGAAUGGACGGACACAACAUCGGAUCAACCCAUUUAAGUUUCUCACUUGAAAGAGAUUCUUGAGUUCAAAACUCUCGAACUUUUUUGUAGAAAGUACAAACACACCCUCGAAAAAUUCAAAUGAUUUGAAGAUCAAGAAGGCAACCCACUCUCUCUCCGCCAUGAAUCCCUCACACGGAAAAUGGGUGUAAACAGUAUGGAUUUAUGUUUAGUCCAAUGGCUCAUAUUAACAUUAAAAUGGAAAGAAAAAAAAGAAAAAAAAGUGAAAGAAAUGUCAUCCUUAUAUAACAAUUGAUCAAUCACUUUUGAGCCUAAUCGAACACAACUUGAACCAAUUGGUUUAAAGUUUGACACGCCUAAGAUUUCAAUGAAUUGAAAUUUCUAACACAUGAAAACACUCACAAGAACGAUUUUUACCAUCUUUCAAUGAAUAAUAUACUAUUGAAUAAUAUACUCAAGUAUAUUAUCAUAAUUGCUAGACCGGGAAAACUAAUAAAAUACCAAUAAAUGUCAUCGAAAGCGUAAUAUUUGAUGAAUUCAUUCUUAUUAAUUAGUUAUUAUAUAUUAUUAUUUUGUUUUUAAGAUAUCCGUAAUUAAUUAAAAUUAAUAAAUAUAAAUGGAUGAAAUAGUAAAAAAAAUUGAAGUUAAAAAGAUUUUGAUAAAAGCAACAUAUUUAAAAAAACAAAAAUAAUAAUACAUACUAACUCUUUUAUUUUUUAUUUUUAAUAUGGACCCAUUUUUGGCUCAAUUGGAAUCCAUGGAAACAAAUUAAACCAAUACUAUGUUAUAAUAAAUUCCCAUCAUGCCAAAUUAGAACAAUUUUCUUGAAUACGAACCAAAUAUAAUGUUAAUGAAAUUAAAUGAGAUUUCUUUUUCAAUAUUCUUGGACAAUUAAGUAUAAUGUAAAGAGAUUUUUGCUUUCUUGCACAAUUUGAAGCUAGUCGUCUCCUUUUACCCCAUGAUUGGGAUUGGACUCCACUUGAGUACCCCACCAUUUCUGCACCCUAUCCAUAUCGUGACCACUUUCAUAGAAAUCGACAGGCUAAGCUCCACUUUUUAAAAAGAAAGGGCAUUUCAUGGAAAAAGAUAUUUUAUUUAAUAUAUAAAAGAAUUAUUUUAUCCCUAACACGUACCUUUGGAUGCUAAAGAAAUUUUAUGUUGGAAACAUUUUUUAGUGGUAAUCAAAGACACAAAAAUGUACGAUUUAUGGGAAAAUAUAAAAUUUAUUUAAAUAAUUGUAGUGAGAAAGAAAAACGAAAAAAAUGAAAAAUAUUUGAGAAAAAAAGUUGGUAAUAAUACCCUAAAAAGAAAUUGAAGAGAAUUAAUAAUGGAAUGAAGUUCUAAAGAUGAAGUUUAAUAUAAUGAUAGAUGCUUUCACACACAUUUUCUGUCUUUGUAUAAUAUUUGAGUUUUAUCCGUGACUUUAAUCAAACUAUUUCUUAAUAAAAGCUAUAAUAAUAAUAAAAAAGAUUGAAUUAUCGAAAGAGAUGUAAAGUAAAAGUUGAUGAAUAUAUCUUUUAAUAAAAAAACACAUCCUUUGGUAUUAUCGAGGACAUAUUCUUGCCAACACAUGGGAUGGUUGGUGUGUAUUGAUCUUUAUUCCUUUAUCUUUUUAAAUAUAAAGAGUUGUACCCUAUUUUCAAAGGUCGUGUGGAUUAAUAUUUAAUUUCAUCAUAUAAAAAUUUUAAUGUUUAAUAAAAUUAACAAAAAAUUCAUAUAAAAGAUUAAGUAUAAUUUUUUAAAGAAAAAAUGUAUUUAUAUUUUAUAUUAUAUAAAUAAAAAAAUUAAAAAUUUUAACGAAACAAAAUAUUACAACUACAUGGAAUCGUAAUCAAUUGUGGUGGGCUGACACAGCCUUCUCACCCUCCUUUUUUCCAACACGUGAGUCACGGGUCUAAGAACUUAAAUGAGAAGACAUUAACAUAUAGCACAUUUCUUAAUUCUAUGUUUGAUAUCCAAAAAAAAUUUAAAAAGUAAAAAAAAAAAUUUAAACUUAUGUUUUCAACUCAUUUUAUUUUAUUUUUACUUAUAUAAAAGUUAAAUAAUUUUAAAAUAUAUAAGUUUAUAAUUCAUCAUAAUCAUAUUUAAUUUUUUAUUUUUUUAUAAAGAAAUUAAAGAUAUAUGGGAGACACAAAAAUGCACCAUUCAUGGAAAAAAUAUAAAAUAUAUUUUUAAAAAAUUAUUGGGUGAUAGUUGAUUUUUCUAUAUCCAGUUUGUGAUAUAGGAAAGAAAAUAAAAGUAGAAACUUAAAUAAAAUAAGUGGAGUGAGAAAAAAAAAGUUGAAUGCCCGAGAAGGAAAUUGAAGAGCAUUAAUAAUGGAACGGAAUUCUAAAAAUGAAGUCUAAUGUAAUGAUUGAUGCUUUGGUACUUUCUCACUUUGUAUAAUCUUUGCGCUUUAUCCAUGACUUAAACAAAAUUCUUUCUUUAAAGAAGUUAUAAUAAUAAUAAUAAUAAUAAUAAUAAUAAAGAUUGAUUUAUUGAAAGAGAUGUAAAGAAGAUGUUGAUGUGCAUAUCUUUCAAUAAGAAAAACAGCCUUUGGUAUUACGGGGGAUGACUGGUGAGUCCUUUUGAUUCCUCCGUGCAUUGCUCUUUAUUCCUUUAUCUUUUUAAAUACAAAUUAUUGGAAAUGUCCUGGAAGGUGUAACAUUAGAUUAAGAGAGAGAGAGGAGAUUGGAAGGCUCCAGUAUAUAUAUGUAUGCAUGUCCAAGCACCACGAAGCCCAUAGCUUACCAUCAUCUAAUGGCAAGACAAAAAAACUCUUCUCUGUGGUUUCUCCUUCUCAGUCUCAUCUGCAGUCUGCUCAGCACCCACAGUACUGCAGCAGCUUCCGAGGAUGAUGUUCGAAAGGCAAUAAACACCCAUCUCUCUCUUGCUUUUUCUUAAUUAAUGGCUUGGUCAAUAUUUCAUGAACCCAUACAUGUAUGCAUGGCGGAAAAAUUAAGAUUAAUCUUGCGCUGAAAAUCAUGGUUGAGUAGUGUUAAUAAACUGGAUUUGCACCAAACAUAUUGUGGACGCAGGAGUAUAUUGUGUACAUGGGUGCCAAGCCUGCCGGAGAUUUCUCGGCGUCUGUCAUUCACACCAACAUGCUGGAGCAAGUCUUUGGCAGGUCAGUAUUCACCUUUGGUUUUUUUUGUUUUUUUGUUUCUUUAUUUGUUUUAUUUAUUACAUAUAUGGUACCUAAUUUUCCCCAUGGAAUGCCUUUUCAGCGAUAGGGCAUCAAGUUCUUUAGUCCGCAGUUACAAAAGGAGUUUCAAUGGAUUUGUAGCAAAGCUAACAGAGGAUGAAAUGCAGCAAAUGAAAGGUGCGUGGGUGGGUUUAAAUCUUUCUGUAAUUGAAGUAACUCAUGUGUGUAAUGGCUACAAAAUUAACUGUAACUUUGGAGUUUCAGGCAUGGACGGGGUGGUCUCGGUUUUCCCUAGCGAAAAGAAACAGCUCCACACAACUCGGUCGUGGGAUUUCGUGGGGUUUCCCCGACAAGUUAAAAGAACAAGUGUUGAAAGCGACAUUAUCAUAGGAGUGCUUGACGGUGGAAUAUGGCCCGAGUCUGACAGCUUCGAUGAUAAAGGAUUUGGCCCACCGCCAAGGAAAUGGAAGGGCACUUGCCAAGGGUUUUCCAAUUUCACUUGCAACAAGUAAAUCUUACUCGCAACAGAGUGUCUAAAUACCCUGUUAAAAAAGUUUAAAUAUAUCCUAUCCUUGUUCCUUAACAAAACUUUCCACCGGUGUUAUUGCAGUAAAAUUAUUGGAGCCAAGUACUAUAAGAGUGAUAGAAAAUUUAGCCCAGAAGAUUUGCAAUCCCCAAGAGAUUCAGACGGCCACGGGACACACACUGCAUCCACUGCAGCUGGGGGCCUAGUCAACAUGGCAAGUCUCAUGGGCUUUGGCUUAGGGACUGCUCGGGGCGGAGUUCCAUCAGCUCGGAUAGCAGUGUAUAAGAUAUGUUGGUCUGAUGGCUGUGAUGAUGCUGAUAUUCUCGCAGCAUUUGAUGAUGCAAUUGCUGAUGGGGUUGAUAUAAUCUCUUAUUCACUUGGGAAUCCCCCUUCCCAGGAUUAUUUUAAAGAUACUGCUGCAAUCGGUGCUUUUCAUGCAAUGAAAAAUGGGAUACUAACAUCAACUUCUGCUGGUAACGAUGGACCUCGCCUUGUUUCCGUCGUAAGUGUCUCGCCAUGGUCUCUUUCCGUGGCUGCUAGCACCAUAGAUCGGAAGUUCUUGACCGAGGUGCAACUAGGUGACAGGAAGGUUUAUAAGGUGAGUAAACUUGCUCACACUUUGGACUAAUAACCAUCACAUUCAAAUAUCAUUUAUUAAAGCAUUUAGAUUUCAACUACGUGGAUCUGAUUUUUGGAGGUGGAGGUUAUAUCAUUGCCCUUUGUGUAGGGAUUUUCGAUAAACGCAUUUGAGCCCAAUGGCAUGUAUCCUUUGAUUUAUGGUGGGGAUGCCCCGAAUACUAGAGGAGGUUUUAGAGGGAACACAUCCAGGUACUUAUUAUUAAAGAAAGAAAAACAAUUCAUUGAAAAUGAAAACCGUACGUUAGAAAUCCUGAAUUUUAAAGCGUGUGUGAUAGAUUACAGGACUUUCAUCACUGAAAUGCAGGUUUUGCGAAAAAAACUCAUUGAACCCAAAUUUAGUGAAGGGUAAAAUUGUCCUUUGCAUUGGGCUUGGCGCUGGGCUUGAAGAAACAUCGAAUGCAUUCUUGGCAGGUGCCGUUGGGACUGUGAUAGUGGAUGGACUCCGAUUCCCCAAAGAUUCCAGCUAUAUUUAUCCCUUGCCUGCAUCUCGCCUUGGUGCAGGAGAUGGUAAAAGAAUUGCCUACUACAUCAGCUCAACAAGGUAUCGAUUAACACAGCUUCCUACUUUUAUUUGGAGAUGACUGUAAAUUAUACAAGUGAAAUGCUUUAGAAUUUGUACGGCAUAUAUAUACUCAGUCUUAGUCCUACUACAUUUGAACAGUAACCCAACUGCAUCGAUUUUGAAGAGUAUUGAGGUUAAGGACACAUUGGCCCCAUAUGUACCCUCCUUCUCAUCAAGGGGUCCAAACAAUAUUACACACGACCUUCUCAAGGUAGCUUAUGCCAUUAUUCUUGAUUUUCUUCUCAUUUAUUCCAUGACAUUUUCAUCUCUAUAUCAUGUAAACCCAAUUCAACAUUUUCAUCUCCCAUUUGAGAAAACAUAGGGGUUUUUUUCUUAAUCUAUGUUGAGAACGGUUACGCAUAUCUCAGACCAAAUCACCCUUUUCCUUAGUUCAUAAAGACUUUCUAGAAGCUUGACAUUCAUGAUGACUUUGUGAUCUUACUGCAUGCAGCCAGAUUUAACAGCCCCAGGUGUACACAUUCUGGCUGCCUGGUCACCAAUUUCUCCAAUCUCUCAAAUGAGUGGUGAUAAUCGAGUAGCGCAAUACAAUAUAUUAAGCGGCACGUCAAUGGCUUGUCCACAUGCUACUGGGGCAGCUGCCUACAUCAAGUCAUUUCACCCCACCUGGUCUCCUGCUGCUAUUAAGUCUGCUCUUA